CAGUCGCCACGGUAAUACGAAGGGUGCAAGCGUUAAUCGGAAUUACUGGGCGUAAAGCGUGCGUAGGCGGUUUGUUAAGUCUGCUGUGAAAUCCCCGGGCUCAACCUGGGAAUGGCAGUGGAUACUGGCAAGCUAGAGUGUGUCAGAGGAUGGUGGAAUUCCCGGUGUAGCGGUGAAAUGCGUAGAGAUCGGGAGGAACAUCAGUGGCGAAGGCGGCCAUCUGGGACAACACUGACGCUGAGGCACGAAAGCGUGGGGAGCAAACAGGAUUAGAUACCCCAGUAGUCCCUGUCUCUUAUAC
rnacentral:rRNA from 1 species